rnacentral:rRNA from 1 species
GGAUUAGAUACCCUGGUAGUCCACGCCGUAAACGAUGUCUACUAGCCGUUGGGAAACUUGAUUUCUUAGUGGCGCAGCUAACGCGAUAAGUAGACCGCCUGGGGAGUACGGUCGCAAGAUUAAAACUCAAAUGAAUUGACGGGGGCCCGCACAAGCGGUGGAGCAUGUGGUUUAAUUCGAAGCAACGCGAAGAACCUUACCCGCUCUUGACAUCCAGAGAACUUUCUAGAGAUAGAUUGGUGCCUUCGGGAACUCUGAGACAGGUGCUGCAUGGCUGUCGUCAGCUCGUGUUG